AGGAGGCGGACUACAGUACAUUGGCCAUUCAUCAAAGACGGCUAGGUAGACAAACACCCACAUGCCUAGCAUAGCAGCGUCCCAGACGAUACAAACAGACUGCACGUACACAUCGGCGUUCAAGGUAUACUGACAGGGAGGCAAACAAGCACUCAGUCACAGCAGCCAUCUUCUUCCUUCCUGAGCCCUUCAAUGUAGAUUCCAGAGGUCUCUACAUUAUGGACAAGACUUCAUCCUCCCUACACCGCUGAUGAAUAUAACUGGAAACCUGUUCGAUCACCAUGCACUGCAAAAUCAUUCUUGCUAUGGAUACGAAGGAUAUCAACAUAUUAACACGCCAGAGAAAAUAUCGACUGAACUUGGAGCUGGGAGUUGACCUUAUAUUUAUCUAUUUGAAUUCUGCUUUGCCACUAAAAUCAUAAUAAACAUUGACUACUAAACUAUUGUAUUAUUGUUAUGCUGAUUAAUAAUACAAAUAAUAGGGGGAAACCCCAAAAGGUUAUUCAAGGAACCAUUAAAGUUUUUUUUUAAGAACUUAGAGGUUCCCCCAGUUUCAGUUUGAAGAACCCCUAAAGGAGCCUUUUCUUUUUAGAGUAUAAUACUUCUGACAGCCAACUUUAUAACUCCGCCCAUAGCUUCUGGACUUUAUAGCAUUCCCAGAAGGCAUGGAUUAUUGAGUCGUUGUUAGUUUUACACUUACACUGCCGUUGUGCUGUAGAAUUUGUGAAUUUUGUUUUGUAUAAUAUAUUCUGUGCAUUUGUUUAUACUGGAUUAAAAGUACAAUGUUAGCUGUAAAUGUGUUAGUUAUGUUCCAACAUUCCUCCAUCUUGUGCUGAUAUCAGUUCUUUUUUAGUCUUGAUUCCAAUAGUUAAUUUUUUUUCUAAGAGAUUGUCUGUUGGAUAGGCCCUCUGCAAGGUUUUGUAUAUCUUACCUAUCAUAUGAAUAUCCUUUUCUGACUCAAAUAGGAUUCCUUCAAGACACAGCAGAUCUGUUAUGUGAUGUAAUGAGACAUAUAAUGAGGUGUUAGAGAGUGGAAUAAGAUAUGAACAUACUCUAUUUGCUUUUACAACUCUUGGUUACUAUUGUACUUUUCCUGCUGUGGGAGAACUAUACUAUAUCCUGAAUGUCUGAAUGAUCGAUAUGGCCUGCUGCCAUGUCUGUCAAUGCAUGACAUUUAGCACCAAGCAUAAAGGAGUCUAAUCUCCAUGCUUUCCCAUAUACUCCAGUGCCCAUAUGGCGACACAUGAGCGUAGAGAGUGCUGCCGAGCCCAACCCAGGAAGGCAUUGUACAUGUAAGGUCAGGCGAAGUGUUGACAGCCCCCUCUUUUAAUUACAUAGAGCUGAGAUCAGCACUAAUGGUAAGGGUGUGUGUGUGUAAAUGUGUGUGUGUGCUAUUCUGUGAGAUUGUAUCAACCUAUUAUUUAUCCAAUUGAGAAGGUCUCUUCUGUCAGAUAUUAAAUAAAUAUGCAGUUGUUUGGUUAGGGUUUGAAGGUGAUGUUUUAAUGAGACAGAGGAACAGGUAAGGUUUUUAGAAAACCACACACACACAGACACACACAUACACACAUACAUACCUACACACACACACACACAUAGACCUACAGUACUGUAAGUGUGGACAAGACAUGGCAGGCAAACAGGAAGUGAACAGUAGACUCUCAGGAAGUUGUGACAUUCUUGUAAAUAUGGCCGUAUAUGGGUGUCGGUUGUGGUUGGUGAACUG